GUGAGAAUUCUUCUGUUUUUCUCUUAUGCUCUUUCUUCUUUUCUUUUCCCAUCUUUAAUCUCUAAAAUUCAUCUGACUCUAAUCAGAGCAUCCAUAUGAUAUACAUCACUGUCCUACUUAUAAUCCUUCAGUAGGUUCAAAUCAACUACAAGAAAACCGCCUAAACCCCUUAGUUUAACAACCCCUCCAGGGCAAGGUCCGUGCUACCUCCUGAGUACAUGGAAGUCAAAUCAGAGUUGCAGCUGCUAGCCUAUGCCACAGCCAUGCAGGAUCCAAGCCACAUCUGUGACCCACACCACAGCUCAUAGCAAUGCCGGAUCCUUAAUCCACUGAGUGAGGCCAGGGAUCGAACCCACAUCCUCAUGGAUACUAGUAGGAUUUGUUUCCACUGAGCCACAAUGGGAACUUCCUUAACUUGUGUUUAUGCAAGAAAGGAUCUCGGGGCACUCCCUGCUUUCCUUUUUUUUUUCUGGCCAUAUCUGUGACAUGUGGAAGUUCCCAGGCCAGGGGUUACGCUGGUGCUGCAGCGGUAACAACACUGGAUCCUUAACCCUCUGAGCCACCAGGAAACUCCUACUAAAAGAUACUUGAAUGGUUGCUUUCUAUUUCUACUAGCCCAGGCAGGAGCUCCAUGUAGCCUUCCUUACAAACCCAACCUAAUCCUCAAACUGUGGUGCUCUGUAUCAGAGGAGAUGAAAGGGUGAAACACCCCUGUCUGUCCCCAGGGAUCCUCAGAGAGUACACCAUAUUCUCCAAAACUGUUGUUGUCUCCGCUCCUUUUUUCCAUCUUUACUUCCUUAUAAUUCAUUCUUCACAUGACCAGAGUGACCUUUUAAAAUCAGAUCAUGUUGCUCCCCUGCUCAAAGCUUUCCAAUUCCACUUAAAAUAGUUUUAAAAUAGUUACGCUUAAAAUAGUAUCCAGGCUUUUCCCCCGGGGGCGGGUGCUAUCUGGAGGCAUUCAGAAUGGUCCAGCGGUUGACAUACCCUUGUAGGCUGUCCUACAACACAACCGCUAAUAAAACUAGGUUGUCCAGAACCUCUGAUGAUAGAAUUAUUUAACUUUAUACCGAAAAGGAUGGGAAAGCACCAAAAUCCUCCUAUGGCACAUGCCCAGGCCACCUUUGAAGGGUUCAUUCUGAGAGACCGGAAGUUGUCCACACAAAAAACAUACCAGCAGGGCCUUUGGUAGUUCUGUGAGACCUAAAUGUCUGUGGCAGGAUCAAGCGAGUUUGCUGUAUUGAGGAACAGAAAGUCAUUGUGAAAGUGUGGAAGGCACAAAGCAGAGUCAGAACACUAAAAAAAUGAAGUGUUUUGAGGGAUCAAAAAAUCAAAAGCAGAGUUCCCGUCAUGGUUCCGUGGUAAUGAGCCUGACUAGCAUCUA